rnacentral:lncRNA from 1 species
UGUUUUGAGUUGAGUUUUGGUUCACCAAUCUACUAGGCUUUGAAUUUCUUGGUUAAUGUUUUGUUUUUGAAUGCAUGCAAGCAUGAUUCCGCCUUUUAAUUGUUAUUAGCAUGCUAUAGAUGUUAUUCAAAUGAACAUGUUUUCACAAAAUAAUCCUUCAAGUGGUAUCAGAGCCUAGGUCUAGUAGUUGGUGAAUCCUUUUGGGUUUUGUAGUUCAUAGUUUGUGAUUUAAAAGUUGUAAUUGUUACAAGCUUUAUUCUUGUUUCUUUGAAUGUAAAUUUUGUUAGAAAAUUUGCCAUCUCAAAUGUUGUAGAUGUAGUUCAUAUGAGCAUGAAUAUUGGAGCUAAAAUUUGGUGCCAUGACUUUGGGGAUUUUCGGCCAAAUCCAAAGGGUGGAUUUUUGGGUUCUUGUUUGACCUGUUAAAAGUGUUUUAAGGUGACUUUUGGAACCCCUAUGUACCCUAGUUUGGUUAGAUGUUAUUUCCCUUAAGUUUAAAUGGUUUUGGAAUGUUUUUGGGUGAAAAAUGUUCAUGGAAAAAUUUUGGGUUUUUCAUGAAUGUUCUUCAUUGUUCUUGACAUUUUUGCCAAGAACAAAAAGGUUUGUGUUUUGAUUCAAAGUUUUGAUUAAUUUCAUAAAGUCUUUGUUUUGUGUUGGUGGGUGUGACUUAUCUAUCAAAAACAUUUAUUGAAAUUUUGAAAGGUGAUAGAAAUGGUGAUGGGUGUGUAAGAAGUACUUCUCUUACACACACACACCACUUGCAAGGCUUUGUUCACACCAAACUAUUUCCACUUGCAUGGCUUUAUGACUUAGUUGAAAUUUUUUCAAAAAUUUUUGUGGACUCCUCUCUAAAACCGGCCCUCCCUCAAAGGGAGUGUUUUUGGGUCUUUUAUGCAAUUACAUAAAGUUUUGAUACUUUUGUGUAUUUGCACUUUGGCCCAAAAGUUUACGUUUUUACGUUUAGGUCCAAAAACGCUAAAGGACAAAUUGUUUUGCUCCUUUAAUGAAGUUUUUGAAUUGAUUAAAUUUUGGGUUCUAGUGUAAUUACAUGAAGUAGUGGACUUUUGUGUCUUUACAAAGUGACCCCAAAAGUUUUGCAAUAUAGCCCAAAAGUUGAGGUUAAUUGCUUUAUAGCCCAAAUGUUGUGGUUAUUGCAAGAUGGCCCAAAUUAAGUAGAGAACAAAAUUGUUUUGUCUCUUUAAAUGAGAAUUGGAUUUUCAUUUUGUUUAGCU